UCGGGUGAGGCCGCGUCGUCGCCAAGGCUGGUCCGGGCUGUGACUGUGGGAGGCGCCGGCGUGAUGGCGGUGGAGACUCUGUCCCCGGACUGGGAGUUCGACCGCGUUGACGACGGCUCACAGAAAAUUCAUGCUGAAGUCCAGCUUAAGAAUUAUGGGAAAUUUCUUGAGGAGUAUACCUCUCAAUUGAGAAGAAUUGAGGACGCACUGGAUGAUUCAAUUGGAGAUGUUUGGGAUUUCAAUCUUGAUCCUAUAGCAUUAAAGCUUUUGCCUUAUGAACAGUCUUCCCUUUUGGAACUCAUAAAGACUGAAAACAAGGUCUUAAACAAAGUCAUCACUGUUUAUGCUGCACUUUGUUGUGAAAUCAAGAAAUUAAAAUAUGAGGCUGAAACUAAAUUUUAUAAUGGUCUCUUGUUUUAUGGAGAAGGAGCUACAGAUUCCAGCAUGGUGGAAGGUGAUUGCCAAAUUCAAAUGGGGAGAUUUAUUUCAUUCUUACAGGAACUGUCUUGUUUUGUUACGAGGUGCUAUGAAGUGGUGAUGAAUGUAGUCCAUCAGUUGGCUGCCCUCUAUAUCAGUAACAAGAUUGCACCCAAAAUUAUAGAGACAACUGGAGUUCAUUUUCAGACUAUGUAUGAGCACUUGGGAGAGCUGUUAGCAGUUCUGCUUACCCUGGAUGAAAUUAUUGAUAAUCAUAUCACAUUGAAAGACCACUGGACUAUGUACAAAAGGUUACUGAAAUCUGUCCAUCACAACCCUUCAAAAUUUGGAAUUCAGGAAGAAAAACUAAAGCCAUUUGAAAAGUUCUUGCUGAAGCUAGAAGGGCAGUUACUUGAUGGAAUGAUAUUUCAGGCCUGUAUAGAACAGCAGUUUGAUUCUCUCAAUGGAGGAGUAUCUGUGUCAAAAAAUAGCACUUUUGCUGAAGAAUUUGCACAUAGUAUUCGCUCAAUUUUUGCAAAUGUAGAAGCCAAACUUGGAGAACCUUCUGAAAUUGACCAGAGAGACAAGUAUGUAGGAAUUUGUGGACUGUUUGUAUUGCACUUUCAGAUUUUUCGAACUGUUGAUAAAAAGUUUUAUAAGUCUUUAUUGGACAUUUGUAAGAAGGUACCAGCCAUCACUCUGACUGCUAAUAUUAUUUGGUUUCCUGACAAUUUUUUGAUCCAGAAAAUACCAGCAGCUGCCAAACUUCUGGAUAGAAAAAGUCUUCAAGCCAUUAAAAUAUACAGAGAUACUUUCCUACAGCAGAAAGCUCAGUCACUUACCAAAGAUGUACAGUCUUACUACGUCUUUGUGAGCUCAUGGAUGAUGAAAAUGGAAUCUAUUUUAUCUAAAGAGCAGAGAAUGGAUAAAUUUGCUGAAGACCUCACCAAUAGAUGUAAUGUUUUUAUACAGGGCUUUUUAUAUGCAUAUAGUAUUAGUACCAUUAUUAAAACCACAAUGAAUCUCUACAUGUCCAUGCAAAAGCCAAUGACCAAAACAUCAGUUAAGGCAUUAUGCAGGCUUGUUGAACUUCUCAAGGCAAUAGAACAUAUGUUCUACAGGAGAAGCCUGGUUGUGGCUGAUUCGGUCUCACAUAUAACACAGCAUCUUCAGCAUCAGGCUCUUAAUUCUAUUUCUGUGGCCAAGAAAAGAGUAAUUUCUGACAAAAAAUAUAGUGAACAGCGUCUUGAUGUGCUUUCUGCUCUAGUUUUGGCUGAAAACACUCUAAAUGGACCAAGCACAAAGCAACGACGACUUAUUGUUUCUUUGGCACUAAGUGUUGGCACACAAAUGAAAACAUUUAAAGAUGAAGAACUCUUUCCGCUUCAAGUAGUCAUGAAAAAGCUGGAUCUUAUCAGUGAACUUAGAGAAAGAGUCCAAACACAAUGUGACUGUUGUUUUUUAUACUGGCAUCGAGCUGUCUUCCCAAUUUAUUUAGAUGAUGUAUAUGAAAAUGCUGUUGAUGCAGCCAGAUUACAUUACAUGUUCAGUGCUUUACGUGACUGUGUACCUGCUAUGAUGCAUGCAAGGCAUUUAGAGUCCUAUGAAGUACUUCUGGAUUGCUAUGACAAGGAAAUCAUGGAAAUUUUAAAUGAGCAUUUGCUGGACAAGUUGUGCAAAGAAAUAGAGAAGGACCUGCGACUUUCUGUGCAUACUCAUUUAAAGCUGGAUGACAGAAACCCUUUCAAAGUUGGCAUGAAAGACCUGGCCCUUUUUUUCUCUCUGAAUCCAAUUCGGUUUUUCAAUCGUUUCAUUGACAUUCGAGCUUAUGUAACUCACUACCUAGACAAGACUUUCUACAAUCUAACAACAGUAGCUCUUCAUGACUGGGCCACUUACAGUGAAAUGAGAAAUUUAGCUACUCAGCGUUAUGGAUUGGUUAUGACCGAGGCACAUCUUCCUAGUCAGACUUUGGAACAGGGCCUGGAUGUCUUGGAAAUUAUGAGAAACAUUCAUAUAUUUGUGUCUCGAUACCUCUAUAAUCUCAACAAUCAAAUUUUUAUUGAGCGAACAAGCAAUAAUAAACAUUUGAACACUAUUAACAUUCGGCAUAUUGCUAAUUCAAUUCGAACACAUGGCACAGGAAUCAUGAAUACAACAGUUAAUUUCACCUACCAGUUUUUGAAAAAGAAGUUCUAUAUAUUUAGCCAAUUUAUGUAUGAUGAACAUAUCAAAUCCAGAUUGAUUAAAGAUAUUCGGUUUUUCAGGGAAAUCAAGGACCAAAAUGAUCAUAAGUAUCCUUUUGAAAGAGCAGAAAAAUUCAAUCGAGGCAUCAGAAAACUUGGAAUAACCCCAGAGGGACAAAGCUACCUUGAUCAGUUCAGGCAACUCAUCAGCCAAAUUGGUAAUGCUAUGGGCUAUGUACGGAUGAUAAGAUCUGGUGGCCUUCAUUGUAGCAGCAAUGCCAUUAGAUUUGUACCUGAUCUUGAAGAUAUUGUAAAUUUUGAAGAACUAGUAAAAGAAGAAGGUCUUGCAGAAGAAACAUUAAAAGCAGCUAGGCAUUUGGAUUCAGUCCUCAGUGAUCACACCCGAAAUUCUGCCGAAGGCACAGAGUAUUUCAAAAUGCUUGUGGAUGUUUUUGCUCCAGAGUUUCGAAGGCCGAAGAAUAUACAUCUCCGAAAUUUCUAUAUCAUUGUUCCACCUCUGACCCUCAACUUUGUAGAGCAUUCCAUUAGUUGCAAGGAGAAAUUGAAUAAAAAAAAUAAAAUUGGAGCUGCCUUUACUGAUGAUGGCUUUGCCAUGGGUGUGGCUUAUAUUCUGAAGCUUUUGGAUCAGUACCAGGAAUUUGACUCACUUCACUGGUUCCAGUCUGUUAGAGAGAAGUACCUGAAGGAGAUAAGAGCAGUUGCUAAGCAACAGAAUGUGCAGUCAACUAGUCAGGAUGAAAAACUACUACAAACCAUGAAUCUCACUCAGAAGCGACUGGAUGUUUAUCUACAGGAAUUUGAAUUGCUCUGUUUCUCACUGAGCAGUGCAAGAAUUUUCUUCAGAGCUGACAAGACUGCAGCUGAAGAAAACCAAGAAAAGAAAGAGAAAGAAGAAGAGACUAAAACAAGCAACGGAGACCUGUCCGACAGCACUGUGUCUGCAGAUCCUGUUGUCAAAUGAUACUGAUGGUCUUUGAUCCAUAUUUGUCUCAGUCAUUGGAAAUUCAGUGCAUAUACUAUGUACAGCCAGUAAUGUUUAAACAAAAGGAAUUGAGCCUGAAAUUCAUGAAGCAUACAUUUCAAUAUUCUUAUAAAAGGGAUAUAUGAAGAUGGUUUUGAUACUAGAGGUGAGGCACAAGUGUUACGUACCCUUUUUGUACAGUGUGAACUGAUUCAUUGUUAAUUUCAUGUGGCUCACAAGAGCUGCUGCUGUCUGUGGUGAGAUAUUUUAUAACUAGUUUACAUUGCUUUGAGAACAUUUAACCUCCAAAAACUGCUUUAAAUUUAAGAUUUACUUAAUACUCAAGGGGAAGAAGAUACAGAUAAAGCCAUAGAGUCCUGCUUGAAGCUUUACUUUUGGCUGAAGGCAUUAUGUAUGAUAGCAGAGAAAACUGAAUGAAUUCUUAUUUCUACAUCCAAACUCAGGUUUCUUCUACAUUAGGUUGAACUGAAGUCUUGAUGAUGGUUUGGGCAGACUUUUUCUUUAAACCAAGUAUAAUCUAAGAAAUCAGAUUAAGCACUGUGCAGGCUUUUAAAAAAUUACCACUGUGAGAAUAAAGUUCUAAUAAACUAAAUCACUUACUGAUUUAAAAGGUAAAGAUUUUGAGUAAAUUUAAUUCCUGGCAAGCUAUUAGCUUUAUUUUUGUAAAGAUUAUAUCAGUUAAAUGGUUAAUCAUGGCCUAUAGUCUUUUAAUAUAAUACAAUGAUACCUUUACAGUGAAGACAAAAAAGUUUAAAACUUUAUGUGUAAUACUAACAUCAUUUUAGGAAAUACUUGAUUUUUCCAUUGCACUUGCCUAUUAAGCAUUUCUUUGGGUAAAUCCUGCAAGUAAUUCUAACAUUGUUGUUUGAUUUCCAGCUUUUGGAACGGGUGUACAAUGCCCUGUGUGUAUUCAUUGAUCACGGUCAGGGUAACUUUCCCAGCUCAAGAUAACACUUUCACUGUUAAAGUUCAGAAGAAACAGAAUAGAUGGUUAAACGUGCUUUCAAAGGGGAAUCCGUCGAAGCUGUAAGAAAAUCUGAAAACGGAACUGAAUGUACCUCAGAGCUUGACUGGUGACCAUCAGAUGGGAUUCUGUCAUACGGAAGAUGUUAUGAAUAGCCCGAGCAGCCAGUACUUGUCUCAUCGCUUCGUAAAUCACUUCAGUAGUGGUGUCUGUUUUAACUGCCAUUGAUCCCAAAAACCGAACUAUAAACAUCUGUUGCAAAAGAGAAUCUGCAAGAGAGCAUUUUCUGCUCAGGAUCAUUUCACUUCCUGCCUGUCGAUGCGCAUACCAGAGGCACAUGUGCUGGUCUGAGAACAGGCUGAAGACCUGGGUUUGCCUUGCUUUCUGGAGGGCUUUCUACCAAAACUUCUGAAUACUCUGCUUUUAUAUAAGCCACAAAUUGCCAAAGCUCUGAAUCUCCUAUUGUCCAUAUUUUGUCUGUUUGGAACUAUUCAUUAGACUAGAAAAGUACCUCUUUUUCUUCAUGUAUAAAAUGAAACCACAUGAACAUCCUUCUAGCAUGAAAACUCUAGGUUGACUACGUGUAAGUGGCAGUAUAUGCAUCUUACCUUUUCUCUGAAAAUAAGAGCUUUUCCACUAGACAACAGAAAAUUCAUUCAUUACUUUGGCCCGCUGAUAAAGUCCUCUUAUAGAAGAAAAUAAGACCUGAUGUUGGGUUUCAUUCAAUUCAUGCACAUCAUUUACUGAAGGGCAGUGGUGACGUUCCAUAAACUAAUGGAGAUUGCAGACCUAUUGAUUAGCUUAUUUGAGGCUAGUGAGCUGACAGUACUGGCUUCUUGAUAAUGGCACGUAACCUGACAAACUGAAUAACAGCAGCCACAACUGGAAGAUCAUGAAGAAGGUUUAAAAGAUCUUUUUUUUUUUUUUCUGUAAGAACAGUAAUUCACUUAUUCACCAUUUGAAACUAAGAAGCCUACUUUUUCUUCACUUGUCCUCCCUAUGAGUAUCCUUGCCCCUAAAAAAUAAGGGUUAAAAAAACUUAAUUAGGAAAAUAUAAUUGAUAUGUUAUAAAUGGUUACUCCCAUAUGAAACUAAUUUUUACAAGUUAGAAAGUUUUUUGUGUAGACAGUUAAAAAACUGUGGACUGUGUGAGAAGUCAGCUAGAUAUAAGCAGAGAGUCAGAUUUGAUGCAGAGCCUAUUAACAUCAUUUUUUCUUUUUUUACCUAAAGCUGUAAGGAAUGCCAGUUCUCAAGUCCUACUUUUAAAUUUAAAUAAGUGGCAUUUCAUUCUAAUGACAUUCUCAGGCUUCAGUCAAGGAGAGGCUGUGGUAAAAUGAGGUCUUGCCAGCACUUCUAAAUUGCCUUGGCUGGGAAGUGUAGCUCUUUGGAGUAGCAGGUUAUGGUCAGCUCUACUGAGUAUGUUCUUAUGUACCUUGUAAGAAUGUAAAUCAAACAACAAAAAUCAGAAUCUGAAUUUGAACAAA